rnacentral:rRNA from 1 species
UACGGAGGAUCCAAGCGUUAUCCGGAUUCAUUGGGUUUAAAGGGUGCGUAGGCGGAAUAAUAAGUCAGUGGUGAAAGCCUCCAGCUCAACUGGAGAACUGCCAUUGAUACUGACGGGCUUGAGUACAGACGAGGUUGGCGGAAUUGAUGGUGUAGCGGUGAAAUGCAUAGAUACCAUCAAGAACUCCGAUUGCGUAGGCAGCUAACUAGGCUGUAACUGACGCUGAGGCACGAAAGCGUGGGGAGCGAACAGG